rnacentral:rRNA from 1 species
ACAGAGGAUGCAAACGUUGCUCGGAAUUACUGGGCGUAAAGCGCGUGUAGGCGGCUUGGUAAGUCGGACGUGAAAUCCCGGGGCUCAACCCCGGAAGGGCGUUCGAUACUGCCGAACUUGGGUCCUGAAGAGGAGAGCGGAAUUCCCGGUGUAGAGGUGAAAUUCGUAGAUAUCGGGAGGAACACCAGUGGCGAAGGCGGCUCUCUGGGCAGGUACCGACGCUGAGACGCGAAAGCGUGGGAAGCAAACAGG